AAAGUCGUAACAAGGUUUCCGUAGGUGAACCUGCGGAAGGAUCAUUAACGUGCCGUGGGGGGUCGUCCUUAACCGGGUCCGGCCCCUCCACCUGGCCACCCUUGUCUAUUUUACCUGUUGCUUCGGCGGGCCCGCAGCAAUGCCGCCGGGGGAGUCGCCUCCCCGGGCCCGCGCCCGCCGAAGACACCGUUGAACUUCUAGUUAAGAUUGACGUCUGAGUAUAACUAUAAUCAGUUAAAACUUUCAACAACGGAUCUCUUGGUUCCG
rnacentral:misc_RNA from 1 species